AGUUCUUAAUUCAUGCAUGUAUCUAGAAACUAUUGAGUGCCUACUACGUGCCAGACACUGUGCUAGGUAUUGGAGAUAUGGCCAUGAACAAAACAGGAGACACAAACAUUAUUCUGGCAUAAUCAGGCUGGAAAUAAAUGUUUGCUGUUGAUACUAGUUAUGAUAAUUCCCAGCCUUAAUUGUCUAGACGGAGUCAUAAAUAGUGAAGUUCUAGGCUGAAACUGACCUACUAAAUUGGAGUCCUGCGUGCUGCAACAUAGCCUUGCUGGGCUGGUCAUGGGUGGAGACCCAAGAUGACAGUGGAACAUUGAGGUAAGGCAAAUUCAGCAGGGAGGCAGAACAUAUUACACACUGAAACACAUCUUAAUCCUAGCUUGAAGUGGGAUUUCCAUUUAUCAUCUCCUUUACUUGUCACAAUGUACUUUGUGAGUAGAGAAAACAAACAAUAUCCCUAUUUUAUAGUUGGAAAACCAAAGCUCCAAAACAAAAUAAUUUACCUCAGGUAGUUUGUAUAGCCCGGGCUUACUUCCCUGAUCUCCUCAUUUCUCAGCCUCUGGCUCCAUUACUUGUCCCUCAGGCUAUCAGCAGAGAUGUACAACAUAUCUGAGUAGAACAGAGCCACAGCGACAGGCCUCAAAAACAAUGGUUGCUGCUUCUGCCAAAGGAUAAGGGAUAGAAAGGGUAACCCUUGAAGACCUCUCAGAAACACCUAACUAAAUGAUAACAAUUGGCAGUAGUGACCUCAGUGUGAAAGCAUCUUAUUUUCAGAAUGCAUAUCCCACAAAAAUUCAGAAAUACUCCUCAAAUGUGCUUACUCGUUUUUCUCCUAUGAAAAGAAUGAGGCCUGGCUGUCAUCUGCUAUGCAGCUUAAGGUAAAGAGUAAACUAGAAAGCCAUCUGAAACACAAUGGCAGUCCUGGGGUGGUGGGGAUAACAACAACAAAGACAAAACAAAGCAAAAAAUUACCCAAAGUAUGCAAACAGAGGAUGGGAAUGGUAAUAAAAUCCACAAUAGUAAUAGAGGGAUGAAUCCAAAUGGAAAAAUGGAAAAGAAGAGACUAAAUUCUUCUUACAUUUGAAAAACAAGAAAAAAAAAUUCUAAAAGUUAAAUAUUAAGCACAUUCAAUGACUCCUUAAUCCCUAAGGAGACCAGUGAUGUAAAUAAGGCAAACUCUGGAUUUAAGGGCAGAGCUGAAUUCCAAUACCAGUUCUGACACUUACUGGGUAGGUGUGUUAACUUGAGCAGGUUAGCCUUCUCCAGUCUCUUUUUUCUCCUCUGUCUUGCUCCCUGUGAGUCCAGUUGUCUGCUUCAUCGCUGAAGAAGAUGGAUGUGUCCACAGAUGGCUGAGAAAGGAAGAGUCUGGAGAGACGGGCUGUGGAACAGUGAGAAAACUUUUUGACUAGCAGAACACAUUUCCUUGAAGGACUUAGGAAUUUUGUUCUGCCGGCAAAAUUUUAAAGCAGUCAUCAUAAAAAUGCUUCAAUGAAAAAAAUGCUUCAAUGAGCAAUUACAAACAUGCUUGAAAUAAAUUAAAAAAUAAAGCCUCAGCAAAGAAUUAGAAGCCAUAAAGAAACUUAAAUUUUAGAACUUCAAAGUACAUUAACCGGAAUAAAAAACUCGAUGGACUCAACAGCCAAAUGGAGGGAUCAGGGCAAAGAAGCAGAAACUGAAAGAAAGAACAAUGGCAAUUACCCAGUUUUAACAACAAGAGAAAGACUAAAGUAAAAACGAUCAGAGACUCGGGAACCUGUAUGACUACAAUGAAAGAAGAGAAAGAAGUUGAGAGUGAAAAAGUGUUUGAAGAAAUAAUGGCUGGAAACUUUCUAAAUUUGGCAAAAGACACAAACUUACGGAUUUAAAAAGCUGAGUGAGUAUCAAACAGAAGGAACUCAAAAAAUAUCCAUGUCAAGACAUGUUAUAGUCAUACAUGUAAAAAUUAAAGAUGAAGAAAAAUCCCGAAAGCUGUGAGAGAAAACCAACACAUUAUCUACACAGGAAAAACUAUUCAAUGACUGAAUUUCUCAUCCCAAAUCACAGAGUCCAGAAAGAAGUGGCACAACCUUUUUUAAGUGAUGAAAGUAAAGAAUUAUCAACCCAGAAUUCUAGACCUGUAAAAAUAUCUUUCAGGAAUAAAGGGGAAAUCUAUGGAAAGGUAAAAGAACUAGGGUAGCUGAAACAAGUGUGAAAAAGAAAACACGUGUGAGGAAUCACUCUACCCAAUUUCAACACUUAUGUAGCUAUCGUAAUCGAGACGGGAUAUUUUUGGUCGAGGGACAGACACAUAGAUUAAAACAGAGACUGAGUCCAGAAAUAGAUCAUUCAAAGUUGCCCAACUGAUUUUUGACAGAGUUGAAAAAGCAGUUCAGUGGAGGAAUGAUAACCUUUUGGACAAAUGGUGCUAGAGCAAUUGUAAUCUAUAGACAAAGAAAUGAACCUCAACCUAAACUUCACACGUUAUACAAAAAUUAACUCAAAAUGAAUCAUAGAUUUAAAUGGAAAACAUACAACCACUAAUCUUAUAGAAGAGAACAUAGAGAACUUUUGUGUCCCGGGGUUGAGUGUUGUUCUUCAAUAUAAUGCUAAAAUCACGAUUCAAAAAGUGGAUAAAUUGGACUUCAUCAAAAUUAGAAACUUUUGCUUUGACAGUGACAUUCUUAAGGGAAAGAAAACACAAGAUACAGACUGGGAGAAAAUAUUUGCAAUCCACUUAUCUGACGAAGGACUAAUAUCUAGAAUAUAUAAAGACUUCUCAAAAGGCAACAACAAAGAAAAAAACAAUCCGAUUACAAAAUGGGCAAAAGUCAUGAACAGACAUUUCACCAAAGAGGAUACACGUGUGGAAAAUAAUGGCAUGAAAAUUUGUUCAACAUCAUUAGCUGUUAUGAAAAUCGUUAUGAAAACCACAAUGAGAUAUCACUACACAAAAUGGCUCAAAUAAAUAGCGACAAUACCAAACGCUGACAAGAAUGCGAAGAAACCGGAUCUCUCUUCCAUUUGUUGCUGGUGGGAGUGUAAAAUAGUACAGCCACUCUUGAAAAUGGUUUGGCAGGUUUUUAUAACCUAAACAUACAACUACCACAUAAGCCAGCAAUUCCACUCUGAGGCAUUUGUCACAGGGAAAUGAAAACUUAUAUUCACACAAAAGCCUGUAUAUGAAUGUUCAAAGAAAAUGUAUUUAUAACAGGCAAAACUAGAAACAGCCUAGAUGCCCUUCAGUAGGUGACCGGUUAAACAAACUGUGGUACAUCCAUCUAUUUACUCACCAUCUAUUUGGUGUCAGGACUCUACCAGGUGCUUAAAUACAUUUGUGACUUAAAUCUUGGAAGGUAAAUAUUAUUAUCCUAACUUUGUAGAUAAGAAAAUUGAGUUUUAGAGAGAUUAAAUGGCUUACUCAAGGUUAUUCAGGGCAAAGACUGGAAUUUGCAACCAGGGGUUUUUGUAUUCCAAAGCUCAUUACCUUUCCAGUGCAGAGGUUGUCAUGAAAAUUAGGUGAGGAGAUUCUGUGCAUUUGCUAUUCUUUGUAAUCUGGAAGGAUGUAACUAAUGGUGUUAUAUCCCGUCUAAGGAGUGGUUCUGUCAGCAGACCUUUAGCCCAAAGCGAUUUCCUAACAGACACCUUUUCAGUAGUUCACAUCCAUUGCCUUUAACCAGGCAUCUGCAAGGUCAUGUCAGAGCAUUUGAUGAGUCUUACUUCUUCAAGAAAGAGGGUGAACCCAAAAUAAACUUUCCUCUGUUGACUCAUUUCACAUGUAGGAACUAACGCUUGUUCUUUGUCAUAAUUAAGUUUGCAGCUAGGGAGCCUAAAACACUCAAUUACUCAGAGAGCUUCCUGAAAUGACUUUGUUUUACAAUGUGUAUCCCUGCUCUUCAGACUCAACUAAACUGUAACCUUCGAUGUCCACAAUUAUCCCACAGGAGUGGCUGAAAAUGUUGAUGCAUCAUCAUGUUUUGGUGCAGAAGGAAUCAGUAUUUGAUUGGAAUAAUCACCUCAUUUUGUAGAGAGUGGGAGUGUCUUGUCUGAGUCACAUGCAUGUGGUUAAAAUUAAAGCAUAAGCCUUAGAUUUCUCAUGAAGUUCAGACCUGAGUGUCACCAACACUUUUUUCUACACUCCAUACUUUGAGCGCUAGUUGCUAUGGGUUCCAGGUUUUACAAGAGUAGUUCGUGUUUUGUGAAUCGAUCAUCGACAAAAUAUCAUAAUUUAUUUAAAAACAAAAACGCAAAACCCCAAGGUCCUCAGAUUUAGAAUGGAAACUACUAAGUAAAAUGAAGAUACCUUGUGAUUAGAUGAUUAGAUGAUUCUAGAAAUUGCAAACAUGGUAUAGCUGGAAAAGCCCAAGAAUUGGCACUAGCGGUCUUGGGUUAGAUGACUUGCUGUGCUGUCAAAAUGGCCUUUUAUCGUUAGCUAUGCCUCUUGAUUUAGAUUCCUCCAACAAACUCUCGCUUGGUGCCUGCUUUAUAUAUACCUUGCAUCUUGUUUGGCUCUGGAGAUUCAAUGAUGACCAAAAUAAUAACAAUGCCCGCCUUUACCUAAAUCACAGUGUUGGUGCAUGAGAGAAAUGAGAUGGUAGAUGAGAAAGCUCUUUGUAAACUGUACAAUUCUAUAAAAAUUAGACAUAACCGAAUACCAUUUCCAGUUGCAAGUGUACGUGGUCUCACAAGUGGAGCUUUGAAGGCAAUGAACAUUCCCUGAGCAUAAACGGAAAAUACAUUUAUGUUGUGAGAUUGUGAAGCCUAGAAAUUGAAAUUGGACAGAAUGCUUAAUAAUAAACAAUUGUAA